GGAAGUUUUAAAUUGCUGCUUUUUAAAAAUGUAACCCUAUCAGAUGAAUGCCCUUUAGUUUCCUCUCAGCAUUGUAACUCAGCAUGAUGCACUCAAACAUAUGAACAACUCUGUAGGUGUCAUUUUUCCCUGAAGACUGCUAUCCUAGUGAGAAUUCUGGUGGCUGUGGUAGGAGGUGUGCGUGAAGAGCUGCUCAUGGUGAGACCAGUUUGGUGGAUGAUGAGACAGUUCCUGAGAAACACAGUGAUAAUCAGACGCUCACAGUGAAGGUUCAUCGAUGUUGAAAGAGGAGAGAAAAUGGCGGCGUGCUAGGGGAUCGAGCGAAGAAUCUCUCCAGAGAAUUCAAACUCAAAGCUAAAAAAAAAAAAAAAAGACAGCAUGGAGAGGACCAGACAAACCCAUAGCGAUUCUUAUCAACCAAGACAGUACAGCUGGAGGAUUUAAAGUCGUGCUGAGACCGGAGGCUGCAAAUCCCGCGCCCUUAAAUCAACGAACAGACUCGUGGACCCAACACGAAAAGCUGAGUUGCUUUUGGGGACUGCGGAAACUGAGACCCAGAUUGAGACUCCAGGCGGCAGCCAGUUCUGCACCGCUGCACCAGAGCAGAUGUACAGAGCUCUGGCGUUUCGAAUCUAAACGGUGCACAGAAAUCUGACCAGUCAGCGCUGAGCCGCGAGGUGGGGAAAAGUGGACGGCUUGGUGUGUGGCGGUCCCGGAGCGGGGACUUGCACCGGACUCUGGUGAGUAUAGAAAACCCCGCGGCGGCUGGGUUUGGCCAGAGAACAGCUGGCCCGCCACCACGGGGAAAUCAAUAACACAGAAUCUGGUGCAGACAUAUUAGCCUGGCGGCUGAAACCGCAGCUUGGUGACAUCACCAGGACCCCCUGUAGGGAGGGCUGGUGGAAGACAUCUUGAGUCCUGGCAGAGUCUGAUUGCUUGCUGGCUUCAGCUCCGCAUGGAGAACUUAGUGGGAGCCAUCUUGGUUUUGGGCAGAUCUGCUUUUCUAGAGCUCCUAUCACAGAGAGGUUUGGAAGAGAAUGGCUGGGACCUGGGCAGAAUCCUGUGCCAUUACCCAGCUGCUUCUGAUUCAGGGAGAACUGGCAGGAGCUGUUGGGGCUAGAUCAGGCCUCUGCUUGGGGCCCAAUGGGCGGAUGCAGAAUGGUCACAACUCAGUGACAACCAGAAAGUACAGCCUAAUUUAUGAACUAACUGACACAGAGGCUAGAGACUAGACUGUACCGCCCCUGCAUCCCAGCCUACCCCAGAUAACUGCAAAUUGGGGAGGACAGCAAAAACUCAAGCCAGCACGCUUCUGAAAGGCCCUAAGCAAUUCGGAGAGGGCCAGAGAACUCCAGGACAGUCUGAAAGAAACCAGAAACAUGACAAGAGAUAAAAAUAAAAAAAAAUCUCCAGCUGUUCAACAGGAGAAAUUAAACCCAAGAGAACUAAACACUGAAGAGAACAAGCACAGUAACCAUCCAUUGCUCGACUCAGCAUCAGCCUAAAUUAAAAAGUAUUUACAUGAUCUCAUAGAGGAAUUUAAAGAUGUACUCCUGAUCCAAGUGAGGCAAGAUAUAAAGAGAUUAAUUAAAGAAAUGACAAGCCCUGCCCAAGAGAACACAGAUGGAAGAACUGAGGAAAUCAGAAAAGAAAGAGAAGCAUCUGAAGAAUUUAAGCAUAACUUAGAAUACAUGAAACAGAUCCAAAGAGAAAAUCAGGAAAUUAAAAACUCCAUUGAAUAUUGGCAAAAUGCCUUGACAGAAACUAAAGACAACCUUCUGAAACUUGAAGAGAGAUUUAGGGCUUAUGAACGUGAAAGAAAAAGCCUCUUAAAAAUAACAAGGAACCAGAAAGAAGCAAUUCUAAAACUGGAAGAUGAUAAAAAGAUGCAUAACCUAAGAAUAAAGAAUGUGAGUGAGGAAGCAGGAACAUCCAAAAAUGAAAUACAAAAAAUAUUCACAGAGAUAUUAAAGCAAAAUUUCCCAUGUAUAGCAAAAAGAAAUGAUAUCCAGAUAAAAGAAGCAUACAGAACGCCAGCUACCUACAACCAAAACAGAUCUACGCCUAGGCAUAUAAUAAUCGAGAUCCCAGAAAUCCACCAAAAAAACAGAAUAUUAAAAGCAGCCAGAGAAAAGAUGCAGGUUACCUAUAACGGGAAAUCUAUCAAAAUAACAGCAGACUUAUCAACACAAACUCUUAAGUCAAGAAGGGAGUGGGGAGAAAUAUUCCAAGUCCUGAAGGAAAAAAAUAUGCAACCUAAGUUCAUAUAUCCAUCAAAACUCUCUCUAAAAAUUAAUGAAGAAAUAAGAUACUUUCAAGACAAGGAGGAACUGUGGGAGUUCAUGGCCACCAAUCCAACCCUACAGAGAGCGCUGAAGGACAUUACAGAGAAAGAGAAGAAGAGAUAUCAGGAUUACAGCUACAGUGGCAGAGAGGCCUCAGUGUACGGGGCAGACCAUGGAAUGAGGGAAUAAGGUGGACAAAUUAUAGCAGAAAAGUGGAGUAGCAGACAUGAGGCAGAGACGAAAUAUAAUGAAAAAAUAAUAGGCCUCAAGCAAUGCACAAUUUACCUUACAAAUCUGGAAAUAUUCUGAAGUCAAGGUUUCCUGAAUCUCCUCUCUCAGAACUCCAGCUGUCCCUCCUGGAUGCAAGGGACCACUACCAGUCCCACCGCUGUUACUGCCACUGCUGCUGCCACUGCCUGGUGAGGAGGCAGUCAAGCCAUCCAAAACUUUUCGGAAAUUAAACUUCUUCAUUUUAAGAACUGUUGAGAAAGUCAAAGGAAAAGAGAAAGGGUUGACUAACUACAUAGAAUUAUACCGGGUAAAAUCAUUUAUUCUUCCAUAUUCGGGCAGUAAUAGCCAGCCCCAUUUUAUGAGCAUUGGCUGAAAAGUGGAAAAGAAGAAAGGCCUCGUUUUGUCAAAUUUUAAUUCUAAAAUACAUAUCUUCAUAAAAUAAAGACCAUUCCUAGAGCAACUGUA